CGUAGGGUGCGAGCGUUAAUCGGAAUUACUGGGCGUAAAGCGUGCGCAGGCGGUUUUGUAAGACAGAUGUGAAAUCCCCGGGCUCAACCUGGGACCUGCACUUGUGACUGCAAGGCUAGAGUACGGUAGAGGGGGAUGGAAUUCCGCGUGUAGCAGUGAAAUGCGUAGAUAUGCGGAAGAACACCGAUGGCGAAGGCAAUCCCCUGGACCUGUACUGACGUUCAUGCACGAAAGCGUGGGGAGCAAACAGGAUUAGAUACCCUGGUAGUCCACGCCCUAAACGAUGUCAACUGGUUGUUGGGUCUUUACUGACUCAGUAACGAAGCUAACGCGUGAAGUUGACCGGCCUGGGGAGUACGGCCGCAAAGGUUG
rnacentral:rRNA from 1 species